rnacentral:rRNA from 1 species
UAGGGAAUAUUGGUCAAUGGGGGAAACCUGACGCAGCCACGCCGCGUGCAGGAAGAAGGUCCUCUGGAUUGUAAACUGCUUUUAUCCGGGAAGAACGGGUGGGAUUCGUCCUGCCGUGACGGUACCGGGUGAAUAAGCACCGGCUAACUCCGUG